AGCCGCCGGCGAGUGGAGCUAAAACCCAUAAGCCAUACCCGGACUAUGAAACGCGAACACAUUUUUUGCAACGCCCGCCAGCCGCUGAAAGCUGUCAAAGAACUUUCUAAGAAAUUUUCAAAUCUACCCGGAGUCUGAAACGACAAACGACGAUUUCCCACAGAAAUCUGACGAUAUAUAGUGCAGGUUCUCCAUAAAGAUUUCUUUAACUUUUGCGGACAAGCCUGCGAAGCGCUUGCAGCCAUUUGACCUAGGGAUCCCCGCAGAUGUUAAAGAAACACUAAGGUUCUUUAAUGCUCUUUACUUGGAUGCAUUAUCGUUGUCAUUGACAGCAGAAUUGGCAAGGCUUGCUUAAAAAGAGAUCCUGUUCCUUGUUCCUUGAUCUUAUAUCAAUGGAAGAACCGUGGAGGGUCACAACGACUGUAAAAAGCGAGCCGGAUGCCAUUCCCGAUGGCCAGUUUUGUUUUAGGCACAAUCAUGGGACCCCGUUCAGGAGCUUUCGUCCCUGAAAAUUGGCCACAGCAGUGUUCCUUUUAAGGGAACACCAUUCCACAAUCCCCACAGGCGCAGUACUUGGGUCUGAUCCUGGACAAGCGGCUCACCUGGAACAGCUCACAAUGAAAAUCGCAGCUUAAUGUCGGGCUAUGCUUAGUGAGCUCAACUGGCUGCUGUAGCCAACUAGCAAGCUUACUCUGGGCGAUCUGUAGACAAGAAGGACUUCUUUGUUUCUAAACUCCUAAAUUUAUAAAUAUUAAGUUGGAGUGCAAACAUCAAAGCGGUUUAUUGGUUGCAAUGCCGAUGGAAUCGCUGGACUGGGCCUAAGUCAAAUACCGUGUUGUGCGCCCAUUAGUCCGAGCAGAUUCCGGUGCACAUUAUUUCUGGCCACGGCACGUGUCUGAACCGCAAACAGAUGAAUUUUUGCAGUGCCGAGUCUCGUGCGAUGAGGACAACGAAAUAUGAGCAGGCGGCAGGCACUAAGGGCAGUUUGCGUAUUCCAAGUCUCGGUCCAGGAACUGAAACGGGAGCAGGACCCGUAGCUGGAGCUGGAGCCGGAGCCGGAGCCGGAGGAGCACUGCAAUUCGUCCUCGGGGUCUUUUUGGUGUUAAUAAUAAAUAAACGGACCGGCCUUGCAGCAGGAGUCCUGCCCGUGUUUUGGACACACUGUAGCGGAUUUUAAUGGACGAAUGCGAGUGCAGCGGCGGAGUGGAGCUAAAACCCAUGAGCCAUAGCCGGAGCACACCUUUUCCCAGGUGCAUGUGUGACACCCGAACCCUUCCUACGUUCCUGCCUUGAAAUACAGCAUUUGCUCGUCCAUCUUUUGAUUUAGCACCGACAUAAAAAUGAUUUAUCAGUGACAUUAAAAUAAUGCAUACUGUGGCGCAUUUU
rnacentral:sRNA from 1 species